GCCGGGUGCGUUGCAUGUGCCUGUAAUCCAAGUCACUGGGAGGCUGAGGUUGGUGGACCAAGUGAGCUGAGGAGCUCUGGGCUGCAGCACGCUAUGUCGAACGGGUGUCCACGCCAAGUUCGGUAUCGAUAGGGUGUUCCUGGGGGAGCCCGGGACCACCAGGUUGUCUAAGGAGGGGUGAACCGGCCCAGGUCGGAAACGAAGCAGGUCAAAUCCCCCGUGCUGUCCAGUAGUGGGAUAAUACCUGUGAGUAGAUGCUGCAGUGCAGCCUUGGCAAAACAUUGAGACCUAGUCUUUU
rnacentral:SRP_RNA from 1 species